AUGGCGAUCGAGGAGAGCAAUGAGAUGGGCACGAAGGUGCUCCCGGCCGUUGACAACAAGGACAAGCAGCCGGUUCAUCCAAUGCCCGAGGUGGUGCUGCCGCCCACCGCUGAGGAAGAACCGAAGACGCCAACGGUUGGCGACGACGAGCGCAUGGAGGAGCCCCCCAGCAGCAAGCGCCGCAACUACGACCACUACCAUGAGGAGGAUGGCCCAACUCACUUCUGCAAGGUCAUCGUUGCACCGGAGCUUGAGUGCAUCCCCAUGCCCCUGGGCUUCACCAAGCACUUCGUCGCGGUGCCGACGGAGUUCAAGCUGAGGAACAACACCGGCUGCUCCUGGAGGGUGACGGUGAAGCUGAUGAACGACAGGGUGACCUUGGAUCAGGGUUGGGCCACCUACGCCGCAGUUCAUCAGAUCAAGAUCGGCUAUAUGGUGACGUUCAAGCUCCUGACUGCCGACACCCUCAAGGUCAUCAUCUUCGACGACGAUGGCAUUGAGGUGGUCAACAAGUGCGGGAAGCACGACGAAGCCUUCGCCGCCAGGGACUAG
rnacentral:rRNA from 1 species